GAUGAACGCUGGCGGCGUGCCUAAUACAUGCAAGUCGAGCGAACAGACGAGGAGCUUGCUCCUCUGGCGUUAGCGGCGGACGGGUGAGUAACACGUGGAUAACCUACCUAUAAGACUGGGAUAACUUCGGGAAACCGGAGCUAAUACCGGAUAAUAUAUUGAACCGCAUGGUUCAAUAGUGAAAGACGGUUUUGCUGUCACUUAUAGAUGGAUCCGCGCCGCAUUAGCUAGUUGGUAAGGUAACGGCUUACCAAGGCAACGAUGCGUAGCCGACCUGAGAGGGUGGUCGGCCACACUGGAACUUAAACACGGUCCAGACUCCUACGGGAGGCAGCAGUAGGGAAUCUUCCGCAAUGGGCGAAAGCCUGACGGAGCAACGCCGCGUGAGUGAUGAAGGUCUUCGGAUCGUAAAACUCUGUUAUUAGGGAAGAACAAAUGUGUAAGUAACCAUGCACGUCUUGACGGUACCUAAUCAGAAAGCCACGGCUAACUACGUG
rnacentral:rRNA from 1 species